rnacentral:rRNA from 1 species
UACGUAGGGUGCGAGCGUUAAUCGGAAUUACUGGGCGUAAAGGGCGCGUAGGCGGCUUGGCCAGUCAGGCGUGAAAUUCCUGGGCUUAACCUGGGGACUGCGCUUGAUACUGCCAGGCUUGAGGCCGAGAGAGGGUGGUGGAAUUCCCAGUGUAGAGGUGAAAGUCGUAGAUAUUGGGAAGAACACCGGUGGCGAAGGCGACCACCUGGCUCGGUUCUGACGCUGAGGCGCGACAGCGUGGGGAGCAAACAGG